rnacentral:rRNA from 1 species
UACGUAGGGGGCAAGCGUUGUCCGGAUUUAUUGGGCGUAAAGAGCUCGUAGGCGGUUUGGUAAGUCUGGUGUGAAAUCUCCACGCUCAACGUGGAGGGGCCACCCGAUACUGCCAUGACUGGAGUCCGGUAGAGGAGUGUGGAAUUCCCGGUGUAGCGGUGAAAUGCGCAGAUAUCGGGAGGAAUACCGAUGGCGAAGGCAGGUCUCUGGGCUAUAACUGACGCUCAUGCACGAAAGCGUGGGGAGCAAACAGG